rnacentral:rRNA from 1 species
CCUACGGGUGGCAGCAGUGGGGAAUAUUGGGCAAUGGGCGCAAGCCUGACCCAGCAACGCCGCGUGAAGGAAGAAGGCUUUCGGGUUGUAAACUUCUUUUCUCAGGGACGAAGCAUGUGACGGUCCCUGAGCAAUAAGCCACGGCUACCUACGUGCCAGCAGCCGCGGUAAUACGUAGGUGGCAAGCGUUAUCCGGAUUUACUGGGUGUAAAGGGCGUGUAGGCGGGGACGGAAGUCAGAUGUGAAAACCACGGGCUCAACCUGUGGCCUGCAUUUGAAACUGUGUGUCUUGAGUACUGGAGAGGCAGACGGAAUUCCUGGUGUAGCGGUGAAAUGCGUAGAUAUUAGGAGGAACACCAGUGGCGAAGGCGGGCUGCUGGACAGCAACUGACGCUGAGGCGCGAAAGCGUGGGGAGCAAACAGGAUUAGAUACCCUUGUAGUC